AUAAACUUUAGAUUUAGAAUGUAAAUUUUAAAUUGAAAUAAUAAAUAUGUAAGUAAUUAAACUUUUUAAGAAUAGGGAUAAUUCUUGAAAAUAGUAUAUAUUACAGCCUACAUUGCCGAAAUUUUUAUCGUACUAAUAAUCUUCGAAGAGAUAAAUGUAGGAAUUAUAUGUUGGGAACCGAAUGGAUCGUCCGUCAUGCGCUACCAACAAAAAUGCACGAAAAAUAGAAAAAACACCGAACGAACGGUAAAAAAAAUAAAUGCAGAAAAAAGAAACCAAGAUUUACGUGGUUCGGCAAUUGCCUACGUUCACGAGGAGAGCGAGAGAAAUGUAUUCCACUAUAUGAAAAAAUAGAAGUACAAGCUUACACAUUAUAUCUUCUCCGGAUAAAAAUCAAGAGCCUUAUAGUGAAUCGCACAUUUCUCUUGUUCCAACGAAAACUUCAAAAAAAUACCGAAAAAGCUUUUCGUAAAAUCGAAAAGACCAAAUUAGAGAAGUAUAGAAACUCUUAACUAAAUUUUUUAUGCUAUUGCUUCUAAGAAUCCGAACCGCUCAAGCAAUUGGUCGAGAACCGCUGCUCUGCAGCCGACUUCAAUCCGAC
rnacentral:lncRNA from 1 species